GCAAAAUUUUCAGUUUUUUCUGCUGUUUUCAGCAGAAAUUCUGCUAAUUCACCUCUUUUCAGCACAACGUUCUGCGUCUUUGCCUCUUUUCUGCAGAAAUUCUGCUGAUUCACCUCUUUUCUGCAAAAUUUUCAGCGUUUUCACCUCUCAUCAGCACAAUUCUCAGCAACUUCUGCUCAUUUCAGCAAAAUUGUCAGUCUCUCCACCUCUUCAUUGAGAGAAUGAGUUUGGCUCAGUGAGAUGAGUAGCUGCCUUGAGCCCUGGAGGGCUGGGUUUGAAUCCUGCUCAGGGCAGCAUUGUUGUUGUUGUUGUUGUUGUUGUUGUUUUUUUUCACCACUUUUUUAGCAAAAUUUCGCCGUCUGUACCCCUUUUCAGUAGAAUUUUUGGCCUUUCACCACUUUUAAGCAGAAAUCUCUCCUUCUUCACUUGUUUUCAGCAGAAUUUUCAGUUUUUUCACCACCAUACAACUUUUUGCUACUUUUCAUCUUUUUCAGGUUUUCAGCAGACAGCUUCAGCGUUAAGGCAUCCACACAGCAUUUUCGCAGGAAAUGCAAAUUUUUCUAGUUUUUCUAGUUAUGUGUGCCUAUGCCAAGAGGCACACAUAUUACUAUUCCUCGGAUUUAUUAUUCUUAUUAUUAUGUGUGCCUAUGCCAAGAGGCACACAUAUUACUAUUCCUCGGAUUUAUUAUUGUGUGGAUGCCCUCAAAGGGCUUCCACACUAUUGAGUUCCUGUUUCUCUUUAUUGUAUGGAUGCCCUCAAAGGGCUUCCACACUAUUGAGUUCCUGUUUCUCUUUAUUAGUGUGAAUGCUUGUAAAAGCAUUCACAGUAUUGUUGUUGUAAUCUUUAUUAGUGUGAAUGCUUGUAAAAGCAUUCACAGUAUUGUUCUUCUAAACUUUAUUGUGUGGAUGCCCUCAAAGGGCUUCCACACUAUUGAGUUCCUGUUUCUCUUUAUUGUGUGGAUGCCCUCAAGGGCUUCCACACUAUUGAGUUCCUGUUUCUCUUUAUUCUUUAUUGUGUGGAUGCCUCAUGGCAUCCACACUAUUGUUUUCCUGUUUCUCUUUAGUCUUUAUUGUGUGGAUGCCCUCAAGGCAUCCACACUAUUGUUUUCCUGUUUCUCUUUAUUCUUUAUUGUGUGGAUGCCCUAAAGGGCUUCCACACUAUUGAGUUCCUGUUUCUCUUUAUUCUUUAUUAUUCUAGUUGCUUCCGUACGUUUUUCGCCGUGGAUCUACUCCCUCAGUUUUCAGCCGAUUUUCUCCGUUCAAACUCUAAACUGUUCUGCUCUUUCUGCUAAUGAUGGCUAUGACUUUUGGUGUUUAUUACUCUUAUACUUUUUAAAAUAUUACACUUUUUUCCUUUAAUUUGUCCCAUUGAAAUGAAUGGAAAUCUUCAGAAAUUCUGCUAAAACUUGCUUGUUUUUGAAACUUAACUACUUUGUCAUACUUUCACCUAGAAACUCCAUUCAAACUUUAAAAUGUUCUCAAAUUAUUGGGCUAUUCCUGUCUGAUUCAGCUUUUUCAGAUCUUCUACCGUUUUAAUCUUAUCUCUCUUUAAGUUUUCAGUUGCAACUUUGUGAUUUUUCAGAAAAUACAUGCGUUGCUAUGGUUGCUAUGCAAUUAAGUCAGAGUGAGUGCUGGUCCGUUCUGAAUUUUCUCUUCAUCUCUAAACAACUUCUUGCUACUCGCUCAAUUAACACUCAACCCCCACAAAUUAUACAUCAAAACGUAGGUAUUUUUGCUGGCUUUCAGACAAUGUCACUAUCUUUAUUGUGAGACUUACCGUUUUUUCGCAAUUUGCCUCGGAGUGACACAAGGUCUCAAUACUCCCCAUUCAAAGUCUAUGGGGAGGUUUUGAAAUUCAGAGCUGAAAUUCUGAAACGGGAGGCAUUUUCAAAUCGCCAUAUCUCUUUAACAUAGCAAAGUUAGGACAUGAGGCUUGUGCCAAUAUAUCUUCAGACACUGCUGACACUCACAGUGGAAGCAGUUUUUACAAUUAUCUUACCGUUGAGCAAUGAAUUACGUUUGUUUGAGGGGUGGAAAUCUGUCCUUCUCUCAGUCUUCAAACUCUGGAAAUGAAGCCGUUUCUUCUCUCGUCAUAUCUCCGCGACGGAGGUAGAACGAGCUAUGAAAAUGGCAGACAAAAUACACCAAAGUCCGCUGAUUCACCCAGUACAAGAAUUAUGCUGCUAGCCCUCCUAGUUUUUGAGUUACACGACGUUUUGUAACUCCAAAAAACGGCGUUUUUUCGCCUCUCACCGCGAUCUAUUUUCUGACUGCCCAAGUAUCUGUCUUUCAGACCGCCGCCCCCUUUCCAGGUGGCGCAAUCAGUAAUGACUCGGCUCUGCAGCUCAAAGGUCGUGGGUUCAAUCCCACCUUGGUCCACGUUUUUUUUUUCACUACAAAUUUAUACACUAUCACAGACCUGUAAUUUAUAUUGCUAAUUUAUUACAAUUCUGCAAACUUUUAUGAUUUUAGCAGCUUUUCUAAUAUGGACCUCAGAUUCUUGUUAACGCUCCAUGGCAGAAACAAGUACACAGCCUGAUGAAGCAGACAGAGGCAGUACCUCUGAUUGGUGAAUUUGAGCAGAACCAGGUUGUUCUUUCAUUUCAUUUCUUUAUUUAUUUCACACAUGGUUCAACAGUGUUUCUUUUUCUACAUACAGAACCUUCUGCCUCUUUUCAGCAGAAAUUCUGCUCAUUCACCUCAUCUCUUGUGUUGGAGUGCCCUCUUGUGGCGCCUUUUGGGUAGUGCCUUAGUAAACGUGAACACUGCAAAGAAGUGGUAUCAGACUGGUUUGUAGUCGAGGAAUUUGUUGCCAGUUUCUUUCAUCUUUAAUCCGUAUUCAUGUUGUAAUGUAGUAGUACCACAAUAUGGCAGAAACACUAUGUUUUGGCACAAAUACUUUGAUUUAGUAUACUUUAGCUUCUUCAGCUUCUUCACCCC
ensembl:lncRNA